GAUGAACGCUGGCGGCGUGCCUAAUACAUGCAAGUCGAGCGAACAGACGAGGAGCUUGCUCCUCUGACGUUAGCGGCGGACGGGUGAGUAACACGUGGAUAACCUACCUAUAAGACUGGGAUAACUUCGGGAAACCGGAGCUAAUACCGGAUAAUAUAUUGAACCGCAUGGUUCAAUAGUGAAAGACGGUUUUGCUGUUACUUAUAGAUGGAUCCGCGCCGCAUUAGCUAGUUGGUAAGGUAACGGCUUACCAAGGCAACGAUGCGUAGCCGACCUGAGAGGGUGAUCGGCCAGACUGGAAGUGAGACACAGUCCAGACUCCUACGGGAGGCAGCAGUAGGAAAUCUUCCGCAAUGGGCGAAAGCCUGACGGAGCAACGCCGCGUGAGUGAUGAAGGUCUUCGGAUCGUAAAACUCUGUUAUUAGGGAAGAACAAAUGUGUAAGUAACUAUGCACGUCUUGACGGUACCUAAUCAGAAAGCCACGGCUAACUACGUG
rnacentral:rRNA from 1 species